GUAAUAUGAAUUUUUUUUUCUCUGUGUUGGUGUUGUGUACUCAGGUGAAUAAUAUGUUUGCGAUGUUACUCUGAGUGCAUAUCCACACCGGGCGAGCUUGAAAAAUAUGCCCGGCCACGGUGGGAUUCGAACCUACGACCUUUGGAAUACUAGCCCAAUGCUCUUCCAACUGAGCUACGCGGUCAGGACGGCUCGAGUAAGUGAUAUUUCGGAACAGGAUCUAGUUCCUUCGAUACCAAUGUAUUCUAUUAAUAUGAAUUUUUUUCUGUGUUGGUGUAGUGUACUCAGGUGAAUAUGAUAUUUGUGGUGUUACUCUGAGUGUAUAUCCACACCGGGCGAGCUUGAAAAAUAUGCCCGGCCACGGUGGGAUUCGAACCUACGACCUUUGGAAUACCAGCCCAAUGCUCUUCCAACUGAGCUACGCGGUCAGGACGGUUCGAGUAAGUGAUAUUUCGGAACAGUAUCUAGUUCCUUCAAUACCAAUAUGUUCUAGUAAUAUGAAUUUUUUUUUUCUCUGUGUUGGUGUUGUGUACUCAGGUGAAU